rnacentral:rRNA from 1 species
UACGGAGGGUGCGAGCGUUGUCCGGAAUCACUGGGCGUAAAGGGCGCGUAGGCGGCUCGGUAAGUAGGGGGUGAAAUCCUGCGGCUUAACCGCAGGGCUGCCUUCUAAACUGUCGAGCUCGAGCACGGUAGAGGCAGAUGGAAUUCCUGGUGUAGCGGUGAAAUGCGUAGAGAUCAGGAAGAACACCGGUGGCGAAAGCGCUCUGCUGGACCUUAACUGACACUGAGGGACGAAAGCUAGGGGAGCGAAUGGG